AAAAACCAAAUUCACCUUUGGCCAGUAUUUGCCUCCACAUUGUAAUCACAAACUUUUCUUGUUUUAGUUAAAACCUAAAGUAAGAAAAUGGAAAAAGGAAACACUGGAAGACCAAUUCUUGGACCCAAAGGCGAAGGAUGAGUAAAACAUUUGGAAUUCCUCUUCAACUUCUGUUCUUACUUUUACAUGUGCAAAGGCUUAUUCUGCAAUGUUGAACACCAGGUUUCCCGUUCCUCACUUCCCCAGAAACUACUCCAAGGAAUCAGCACUACAGACCCCACCAUGACUAUACUCAAUGGUUGACUUGAGCGCAUUUGCCAUAUUUGCCAGUCCCUGGUUUCUUCAUGAUUUUGCAUCAAACCCUAUUCCUGCCUUAGGGAGUCUGCCCUAGAUGUCACCUCUGCUUUCUGAAUGGCUUACUCCCUCCCUGUCCCCUUAGACUCUGCUUAAAUAGCAACUUUGUGAUGAGACUCACUUGGAUUUAGAUUGCUAUUCUCUUCCUACCUCAGCACUCAGUAUCUCACUUCCUACCUUAAUUUUUCCAUUGCGUUCUGGUAUUGUAAAUGACAUUUUUAGACAAGGCUGGCCCCAAACCCACCAAGAUCUGCCUGCCUCUGCCCACCAAGUUCUGGAGUUAGAGAGAUGCACCACCACACAUCAUCAUCGGGUAUCUUCUUUCCCUCAAGAGAGUAUAAGGUCUUUAAGGAUGGCUUUGGAGUUUUUUGGUUGUUUUAUUUUUGUUUUUGUAUGUUUGAUUGCUUUUCUAUCCCCAGCCGCUCAUAUUGCACUUGGAAUAAAAAAAUGUGCUUAAUAAAGAGUUGUGAUAGACAACCAUGGAAUGUGUCAGGCUCGGAAAGAUGAAUUAAAUAAUGGAACUAAACAGUUCACUUUUAACCUUUUAGACAUGUAAUUUCUUUAUUUGUAAAACAGAAAUAAAAUCACUCUUACCUGUGUUUUUCCAGUGUUGAAGAGCUUGACCAGAACCUUGAACAUCUCAGUCACAAAAUUGAACAAUCAACAGAACCAGAGAGUGCCCAAAAGAACACCAUAGACAAGUCCCACACACUCAUCUCAGAACCUCCUAGUACUCCCAAGUUCCCUUUGGAUUCUAAAUUCUCCAAAUCGUACUUGCAUAAGACCCUCUUUGAAGAGUACAAACUCAUCGCUUCUGAAAUACUCUAUGAACUUGAGAAGACAUUGAAGAGAUAUGCUCACAAUGGCAUGGAUUUCCCAGUGGGACUCAUCAAUCUCAUGACUUAUAGCUGGCAAGAUUUGACUGAAGACUCUGAUAAGAGCAUAUCCUCAGUGAAAAUGUUGGAACAAGACUGGAGCUUGGGAGGCAUCAACAUCAAACAAUGCAAAAUCAACCCAGAUGCAAAGGAACACCCUCCAGAGAGCAAUCAACUGGUUAAAUCGAGAAAAGUUUCUAAGACAGUCCGG
rnacentral:lncRNA from 1 species